GAUGAACGCUAGCUACAGGCUUAACACAUGCAAGUCGCGGGACCGGCGCACGGGUGAGUAACGCGUAUACCACCUGCCCUUCACCACGGGAUAACCCGGCGAAAGUCGGACUAAUACCGUAUGGUGAAGGCUGGGGAUGCGUCCGAUUAGCUUGACGGUGGGGUAACGGCCCACCGUGGCUACGAUCGGGAGGUGUUCUGAGAGGAAGGUCCCCCACACUGGAACUGAGACACGGUCCAGACUCCUACGGGAGGGAGCAGUGAGGAAUAUUGGUCAAUGGGCGGAAGCCGGAACCAGCCAAGUAGCGUGCAGGACGACGGCCUAUGGGUUGUAAACUGCUUUUAUGCGGGGAUAGGUACCGCAUGAAUAAGGACCGGCUAAUUCCGUGCCAGCCGCCGCGGUAAUAC
rnacentral:rRNA from 1 species